rnacentral:rRNA from 1 species
UACGAAGGGGGCUAGCGUUGCUCGGAUUGACUGGGCGUAAAGGGCGCGUAGGCGGUUCGUACAGUCAGACGUGAAAUCCUGGGCUCAACCUGGGGCUGCGUUUGAUACGUGCGGACUUGAGUGCGGAAGAGGGUCGUGGAAUUCCCAGUGUAGAGGUGAAAUUCGUAGAUAUUGGGAAGAACACCGGUGGCGAAGGCGGCGACCUGGUCCGAUACUGACGCUGAGGCGCGAAAGCGUGGGGAGCAAACAGGG